AAGGCGAACUAGAAUUAAUUUCGUGUAAAUAAAUGAAAUAUAAUUCGUAAUCCUAGUAUGUGAUUUAUUUUAAAGUGGACCAUAACAAAAAAAUCGAGAUUUUUUUCUUCUGAUAUUUAGAAUAUGUCCACUUGUCUGUUAAUAUAAUUUAAAAGACUGAAAUGUCGUGGAAUAUUUUUGGAAACCUUCUGUGUCCACAAAAAUAAUGACCCUUUUACUUAUUCAAUAUACCUGAAGAAACCCUUACCAUGUUUUGGAAACAAAAAUGCUACAUUUUUCUGUGAUAUGUGCUUCUAUUGUACCAAAAACAGAUCUCAUUUUACAAGGCAUAGGAUGAGGCAUACUGGUGAACGCCCUUUCAAAUGUUUUGUAUGCAAUAAAGGCUUCAUUACGAGACAUCAUCUCCGAUAUCAUAUCAAAAGUUCUCACAAUGACCUAGCAACAGAUUAAAAUUUUAUCUGGGAAAUACUUGUGUUGAAUUAAUAUACUUACAGUUUUUCAAGUGAAGGGAAAUGCAUUUUUGUGAAGUUAAUGAAUAACUCUUGAUUGUAAAUUUUUGUUCUGUAGGUUUUCAUGAAAAAAGAUAUAUGUAUAAACAAAUUAAGUUAUGCAGUCAACUUUGAUUAGCUAGUGAGACAUUGAAAUGUGUUUAAUUCAUGGAUGAAGGAGAGAAAGGAUAGGCCCCAACCAGUUUCUGUUGUUUAUUUCUUUGAAUCAGUGAUACACAUCCUUGUAUAUCAAAACAUUCAGCAGUUCAGUACAAUAUUUCAGAGUCCUAAUUAUGUGAAAAAGUUCCUUCACUACUGGAGAAAGUAACAGAAGUUUCAAAGUGAAUUUAUUAACAAACAGUGAGACUAAAAGUGCUGUUUUCUCAUGUGAUUUUUGUUUUUAUAUCACAGAAUUUAAAGCUAAUUAUUUUAGACACAUGAUGAGGCAUACUGGUGAGCGCCCAUAUAAAUGUUCUUUAUGCUCUAAAGGAUUUAUAACAAAGUAUCAUUUUAAAUAUCAUAUGAAAUCGCAACAUACAUGAAAAAUUAAUCUGUAACGUUAACAGUCUAGUUUUACUGCCCAUAUUGUUUCAUAAAUAUUAACCUGUCUAAAUUUCAGCCUUAAUAACUUAAAACAUUUUAAAUAGAAUUUUCAUUUUCAUUGUGGAAUGACAGAUGCCUUUUGUGCAUUCUUCAAACCAGUGCUUCUCAACCUAUUUUGCCUCACUUGCCCUUUUUGCCACUGCCCCCCCUAUUUUCCCAAACUCAAAGAAUUCAUAUACAUUUAUUUAAAUGUAGAUUAUUUUUAAUGUGUUAUAUAAAUUCAAAAAUGUUGAAAAAUACCAAAACUUGAAUAAAAGGAAAUUUUUUUUUUUAUUCAUAAACUAAAUACUUAACAAGAAAAUAAAAAGUGGACCACGAUUUUCCCUGAAACUGAAAUUCUCUCUUCUCAGGGGUAAAUUCUGUUCAGGCUGAGAACCCUUGUUCUACGGGGGGAUAUCAUGUAUGCAAUCUACUGCUUUUAGUAAUUUAUUUAUUUCUUAGAUAGCAAUACUAAAAUUGGCUGUUGAUUUAAUAAUUUCUUUUUCUUACAAGUUCAAAUUUAAAAGUAGUGUUUCAAUGGUAUCAUCUGAGAAAGAACAAACUAACUAAAAGUGGUAGAUCAUAUACCUGGAUCAAUAAUAUUCAAUAUUUUUUGCUUCAUGCAUCCCUUUCACCACUGCUAGAUGAUCUCCCCUCCUCCUCCUUUCCAGGUCUCAAAAACACAUAUACAUUUAUUUAAAUUUAGACUGUUUUUUAAUGUGUAUUAUAAAUUAAACAAAAAAUAUAGAAAACAUCAAUAAGUAUCAAAACUUUAUUUAGAUUAUUAUUUAAUGUGUGUUAUAAA
rnacentral:misc_RNA from 1 species